rnacentral:rRNA from 1 species
AGUGAACGCUGGCGGUAGGCCUAACACAUGCAAGUCGAACGGCAGCACAGUAAGAGCUUGCUCUUACGGGUGGCGAGUGGCGGACGGGUGAGGAAUACAUCGGAAUCUACUUUUUCGUGGGUGAUAACGUAGGGAAACUUACGCUAAUACCGCAUACGAUCUACGGGUGAAAGCAGGGGAUCUUCGGACCUUUCGUGAUUCAAUUAGCCGAUGUCGGAUUAGCUAGUUGGCAGGGUAAAGGCCCACCAAGGCGACGAUCCGUAGCUGAUCUGAGAGGAUGAUCAGCCACACUGGAACUGAGACACGGUCCAGACUCCUACGGGAGGCAGCAGUAGGGAAUAUUGGACAAUGGGCGCAAGCCUGAUCCAGCCAUACCGCGUGGGUGAAGAAGGCCUUCGGGUUGUAAAGCCCUUUUGUUGGGGAAGAACAGCAGCAGGUUAAUACCCCGCUGUUCUGACGGUACCCAAAGAAUAAGCCCCGGCUAACUUCGUG